CACUGUUUCACAUCCCCACUCCGCAGCCCCCCCUCUGGAUUCUCUUGAUAGGAAUAAGUGCCCGAUCAUUAGGGAAGAAAAACUUUAUUGACUCAAGAUCUGGGAGGGCCGGCGCAAGGUCAGGAGCAAGUACCACCAGUUUUACAUAAUUUUUGCAUCUGCACCAAUUUGAUUUAAGGCUAUAAGUGGAAUUUAUUGGAGUUGGAAACCUUUCAAAAACAGUCCACAUGGCUUGUCCCCAUGCACCUGGCAUGCCUCAGGAGUGGAGAGAACGGAUGCCCACUAUGCUUUGAGCAAGAUGACAACUGAAAGUAACUUAAAGUUCCAUGAAACUCCUCCAGGUUCCUUUUUAGAAGGCAAAUUGGGCAGUAUUUUUUCCUAUACCAAUCCUGCCAUUUUUCCCCCAGAAAUUUAAAAAUCCUGGUUGCUAGAUCUGAAGAACUGCUUGUACCAUUCCGAGAGUCAAUGACACACUCUCCAAGCUGACAGGAACGUCGGCGUCUCCUCUGAGACUACAGCCAGGCUUCCAGAUUCUCUCUCAGUUCUCCGUUAAUGUUUUCUUUGUCACGGCUGUAAUUUGUCUAAAGUCCAAGAGGACACUGAAAACAGAAAACUCACUUCUCAAUCGAUUGAUGCUGUCAAAGAGUUGAAGGCUCAUGACCAGAUGUGUCCCUAGGAGCUGCCUGAGACUUGGGAGAAAAGAAUGCUGCCAAUCGCCAGAGGCAGACAUGUUUAUCAAGCUGUGCAUCUUGAAGUCUGACAUAAAAUCUGUGGCCUUUGGUACAGCUGAAAAACACUCUGUCAACACCAUGGAGAGAGCAAGCCCGUGGCGCUGGCCUCGACCCAAGGAGUGCAGGGGAAUGGAUGAAAACUUGACUCGAGGCCAAAAAUUACAAGAUGAGGGAAAGUCAAACUUGAGGCGAGCAAACCUUUUCCAUCGGGUCUGUUUAAUAUCUCGUGUAAGCAUCCAAACCACAAAUCGGUCAGUGCUUAGGUGAAAAGACAAGUUUUUCUCCCUUUUGGAAAGCUAUUUUGCUUAAGCUCCUAUGAAUACAUCAAUUAUAUUAGCCCUGAAAGUGUCUGUCAGUGCAAUGUUAAAAGGUCCACUAUUUUACAGACUGCCCACUUCAGAAACAAAAUACCCUUCAAACUCUCUGCCCUGAAUCGCUUGGGCCAAAAAGAGCUCCAGAGAAAAAGAGUGUAAACUCUGCCGGAUUGAGAGAGGGAAGAGCCACUGGUUUUAAGUAAACUUGUAUAAUAUUUGCCAGCUUAAUAAAAUCCCCCCAGCACUUGUGUGCCUUCAAAUUCUUCAACAACUCAAGGAAAAUGCUCUUUAGUGACAGAAGAUGGGAGGCCAAAGAGAAGGUUGCCAGAGACUCCCACCAGCCCCGUUGUGCUUGGAAGUUUGGGGAGCCGAGCUCAGUGAGAGGAGAGCCCUGCCACAGAAGUGCUCUGUCUGAGCUUUUCCUUCAGGGCAGGUCUCUAGAUUCUCAGAUAAGACUACAACAUCCGGGCACCACACCAAAUCAGGAUUGUGUCAAGAGAAGCAAACUAAGGUUAGAGACAGUCUACAGGCCUUUGCCUAUAGAUGGAAAAAAAAUACUAAUGACAGUUCAUAACUGUGCAGCUUCCAGUGGACUUUAUUAUUACCUGGUACUCAUCAGUCAAUUGCUGUCACCCUUGGCUAAACUUCCAGAAGUGGAGCAACCUCAAAGCUGUCGUUUUCAUACAUCAUGUGUUCUUUCCAGAGUCCCUCUACCCCUGCCUCUUCCAGUCACAUCUGUCCCCAAUCUUUGCCACCCUCUGUUGCUUACAUUGGCCAACCCGCCCGAAACGGGAGAGUUUGAAUUCUUCAUGCUAUGUGCAUAGCCAACAUUCCACAAGAUUUAUGUCACGAAAGUCUGUGAAAAUGACAAAUGGUGGGAAAGAGGACCAAAAGGGGAAGCAAAAAUAAAUCCAACUAUGAUUUAACCAAAGAUGGCCCAGUACCUGUCCCUAGUGGGUCCUGUGAUUUCUUAGGGGGCACGGAUUCAACAAGAGAGAAAGAAAACACUAUAUGAGUAUCUUCAUAAUGUUCCUGUUUUCAAUUCAAAAUCUCUUUGGAAAAAUUUACUUUUUAACCUUAAGUCAUAAUCCAAAUGCGUCAAAAUAGUAACCAAAUAUCUAGAUUGAUUGGGUGGAUGCCUGGGCAUGGGGAGGGGCGAUUAUUUUCUAAGAUACUUACAUCUAUUCUUUAAAAAGUAAGCAGAGAUGUAGAAGGGGUUCUGGUUGCCUGGGGUAACUACAGUCACGCUAGGAGAGCCCCCCACAGGAGGGAUGAGGAUGGCCACACUGUUGGGCGCCCUUCCAUAAAGUAGUCCUUUUGUCCCCAUCACCAUUAGUGAGCUUACUGCAACCUUUACCCUAUCAAAGGUCACCAACUUCAGUGGACUAUGGCCCACCCAGAUGAAUGGAAUACCACCCCGAUACUAACAAUUAUGCUUACGAAGGGCUUUUAACAACAUAUAGAGAUGCCUCUGAUCUAACACUAAAGGAGUAAAAGGAAGAUGGACAAGUGCAUUUGCAGUAUAAUCACCACCAUGGAAACAAUCUGUAUAUGAGGACAGCAGCACCCAAAACUCUGACCGGUGGUUAUCCACAGAUGGGGGGCGGGGUUAUACCUAGAUGACUUUUAUUAUUUUCUAUAGUUUGUACUGUCUAGGUGCUCUAUAACAAGCAGGAAUUCAUUUAUAAUUAAAGAUAAGCAUUUUAAAAUAGAAUAAAAUCCCUAAAAGGCAUCACCUACUUCUUUCCAACACCAGAUUCAUGGCUUGGGGUCUAGGACUCUCCUUUUCAAAGGUAGAAUGACACUGUCAAAAAUAAAUUUCCAUUCCUGCCCUGUGGUGUAGCAAUUAAGUUCACACGCACCCCUUUGGCAGCCUGGGGUUCAGAGGUUCAGAUCCUGGGUGCGGACCUACGCACUGCUUAUCAAGUCAUGCUGAGGCAGGUGUCCCACAUAUAAAGCAGAGGAAGAUGGGGACGGAUGUUAGCUCAGGGCUAAUGUUCCUCAAAAAAAAUAAAAUAAUAAUAUAUAUAUAUAUUUCCAUUUUAGAAACUAUUUUCUUCAGUUUUUUCUCUGAUACUUAAAAGUUCUGUUGACCUUAACAGAAAUGUGGGAGGAAAACUGCUCUUGACUUUGCACAUGCUAGAUUUUCCAAAGCUGGAACUCUCUAGAACUGCAUUGCCCAGUACAGUAGUCGCCACCACACGUAGCUCCUGAGCACUUGAGAGGUGAAUUGAGAUGUUUAGAGAGCAUAAAGUACCCACCAGAUACUGAAGACAUAGGGGAAAAAAAGAGAGCGUGUAAAAUAUCUCAUCUAUAACUUUAUACUGAUUACAUGUUGAAAGGAUAUUUGGGAGAUAUUGGGUUAAAUAAAAAAUAGUAAAAUAAUUUCACCUGUUUCCUUUUAUCUUUUUAAAAUGCGGCCUCUAGAAAAUGUAAAAUUACCUAUGUAGCUCACAUUAUAUUUCUAUUGGACCGAAAUGAUCUAGAAAAAAAUUCUGCAGAAGGGUGAUUCAAUUACCCAUCUACCAUCUUUUAGAAAGAUAAAGGAUUCCUAAUAUGCUUGCUCAAGCCGUAUCUACGGCCCCCAUAAAAUGUAUUCGGCCCCUCUUCUAAGUUGUAUUACACUUUCAGUGGUCAGGUAACUUCAGUUAGUUCCAAGCAUGGGUGAAUUGAGGCCACUUCAGGGGCAACAGCACACACCAGCUGCACCUAAAGGUCAUCUUGCCUUUUUUAGACUCACACGGCCCACGUAUCUCAGAAUUCUCUGACUCCCCAACACCAGCAAUGGCCAGCCUCUGUUCCCAUGGAUUCACUCACACAUCUGUAUAACACCUCAUUCAAAGAGUGCAGUCCCCAUUUGGGACAGCCUGAAAUAUUGUCAGGUCCCAAAAGGUCAUGCCAAAGGGACUUCCUCCAUGUCGUUCUAGGUCAUCUCUCCAAGUACCGCUGGCGUGAGGAGACUGAAAAUGAUUGCUCUUCAAAAGGGCAGGGAAAAUGUGAAAGGAAGGAUUACAUCUGCCUGAACUGCCAAACCAAACUCGGAGGAGCAGGUCCUCCAGAGAGUGACUCAGAUCCACAUGAUGUUUUCCAGGGACGGUGCUUUCACAGGAGGGGGAGGUGGGCAUUCGGCUUUCUGGCCAAAGGCUACUCCAACUUUAACAGCCAGCCCAUCCCACAGCAAAGGUGUACACCUCGGCUCCCUUUUUCUCCCUGCUCAGAGCUGCAUUCUCUUUCUGCAGCGGUCAUUAGAAUAAAGAAAACCCUGGUAAUGAACAUGAGGAGCAGAGGACAGACCACCCCUGCAAUGCAGUGGGGCAAGGGGAUGACGAAAAGAAAAGAGACAAGAAAAGAAACAAGCAGCAAACAGUCCCCCGUCAGCCAGAAGCAACGAGUUAAGCUCUUCCAUGACGGACUCUCUCAGAAAAGGCACAUCUGUGAUGGCCACCUUCCUUGUGGGACAGGAGAAGGAAAGAGCUGAACUCUGAAUUUUCCACUCACAAUAGCCUUCUCCUUUUAGUUUCUACUGUUAUCUAAAAGGAAAAAGGAGAGAAAGAAAGAAGAGACUGGCUCUUGAAUGGGGGGUGCCCUCAGCUACCACAGGAGGUCCCCUGCUUCUGAGGCUCAGAUGCAGGUAGAGACCCAGGAGGCCACACACCUGCGGUGACUAUGUCAGGACUCACCAGGCUGAACUGAGUUAACAACUCCAGAUAAUCCCCUCAAAGUUGACUAACACACAGCUCUAGUCCAGCAGUUUUCAUAUUUUAAAACAACUUUCCAGAGUUCUCUUUAAUCAACCUCAGCAGAUCCAAUGUCUUCAUAAAACUAAAGUCCCUUUCAUUACAGCGAAGUAGCUUCAAUUCAAAUUUUCCUCCAGGGAUCAGAAUCCAGAAUCCUGGUGCUGCGUGUGCCAUGCUACUGAGCCGUCCUCAUUUUUCCCUCUGAAAUUUUUUGGCACAACUUACAAAUGAAAACGUUGAAGAAAAUGAAACUAUAAACAUAAAAA
ensembl:lncRNA